rnacentral:tRNA from 1 species
GGUGCAUAUGACCCGCUUUAACAGCUGAAGACCGCAAUAAACUGCCGUUUUUUAAGGAAUUAUAACUACCUUGACAUGGUAGGGGUCACAGGUUCAAUCCCUGUUGCGCCCACCA